rnacentral:rRNA from 1 species
AGAGGGUGCAAGCGUUAAUCGGAAUUACUGGGCGUAAAGGGCGUGUAGGUGGUUUGAUAAGUUGGCUGUGAAAGCCCCGGGCUUAACCUGGGAGGGUCAGCCAAAACUAUUAGACUAGAGUACGGUAGAGGGUAGUGGAAUUUCCGGUGUAGCGGUGAAAUGCGUAGAUAUCGGAAGGAACACCAGUGGCGAAGGCGACUACCUGGACUGAUACUGACACUGAGGCGCGAAAGCGUGGGGAGCGAACAGGAUUAGAUACCCUGGGUAGUCCACGCCGUAAACGAUGAGAACUAGCCGUUGGGGACGUAAGUCUUUAGUGGCGCAGCUAACGCGAUAAGUUCUCCGCCUGGGGAGUACGGCCGCAAGGCUA